AGGUGUUCAUAUCAAAAAGAAGGGAUGAGAUGCUUUGAGAUAACAGAAGAAAGGAGAAUAGAUGUCUCACACAAAACUAGCGUUCACCCACCUUUUUCUAUUUUUUUAUCAUACAAAAAAAUAUUCCAUAUCUCAUUCUAAUCAGAAUAGAAUAUUUUCUUGAUAAGGCAUCUAUUCAAAUUAUAUUUGGAUAGUUGUCUUAAGGAGAGAGAGUCCCAAAAGGAUGGGGCACC
rnacentral:lncRNA from 1 species